GUGAGAAUGACAGAGCCUGUGCUUUUACUACCAGGAAGAUGAAAUGAGAUGAGAUGCUUACAAACUCAAGCUCAUCGCACUAUAAUUGUGUACUUGGUAGGAUGCUCAAUGAUUGUGCAGAGCAUGGUGAGCUAUGGCGGCACCGCAGCUCGAAAAGCCAAUUUCAUGGAGCUGCCAUGGCCCACUCCUCUUCACUCUUCAGUCUGGAGUUUCGCUUCCCGUCUCCUUCGCUUGGUCUCUUCCUUUCUGAUACUGGGUCAAUCUCAAAGAGCCUUGCCCAAGCUGUUAGUAUUUUACACCACAAGAGUUGGCCUUUUGAUGCGUGAGUAUGAAUUCGGGGCGUUUGAUGCUGAAAGCUCCUCCACCUAGUGAGGUGGAAGCUGCCACCACCAUCCAAGCCCACUGGCGGGGGUUUAUGGUGCGGCGAACGCGCCCUCUGGAGAAGCUGCAAAUCAUCUACGAAGUUCGGCAAGGCCUGAAGGACCACAUGCGAGUGUUGGCAGAGCCUGCGCAAUACGAGUCGCUGUGUUCAGAUCCCAAGCAGCGCUUGAGAUGGAGCGAGUGUGCUAUGGCGCUACUGCUGCGCCUUGAUUCUGUUCAGGGUGCCCAUGCUGAUGUGCGGGACAUCAGGAAACUCGUCACCAAGGAAGUGAUUGCGUUUCAAGAGAUUAUUGAUUCCACUUCCAAGGACGCUUCCAGUGAUGUGAUCAGAAGGGCAUUAAAAUCAACACUCGCCAUGUAUUUAGCUUGACUUUAAACCAGAUUGGUUCCACUCAUCUCCACCCAUUCACUUUCUCGGCGAUAAUGACAACAAAUGAUUUCCCUAACUCGGAGGUCCAGAAGACGCCAUCAGAACAUCUGAAGUCACUAAUUGCAAAACGUGCAGAAGUGUAGUGGGCAUUGUGUAUUCACGGCAAGUCUUGAAUCUAUGGCUUCCAAGGUUCCUUUCUGCACUGAACAAGCGAAUUAUGCUAACCCCAACUUAAUUAUAGGGUUUUUUAAGUGUGCAGCUUGAAUAGAUCAACGUCAUUCUCCUCAUUGUAGUGCAACUCUGUAACGGUUAAAAUAUAAGCUGCAUUUGAUUGUUAUCUAUGCUAGAUAACCGCAGAAUUGCACGAAUAUUGUUCUGGCAUUAAAGACGUGUAACUUAACAGAAGAAGGCAUACGACUAUAUAGAUUCAUGCGAAUGAUGCUACAGGCAUUUUCCUCCCUUGGGGGUCAGAUUUGGCGCAGAGAAGAAUGUGAAUACAUUCUAGAACAGAUUCGAACCAUAUGGGUGGUGGAUUGGCUAUUGUGGAAGUGUAGUCGGUUGCUGUGAGCCAUAGUAAUUUUGCACAGGAGCUGCGACGUGUAAUCAUGGUUUCUGAGCUUUGUAGGAGAUGUUUCGUGCACAGGCUGAUGAAGCUGGGGGUGUGCAUAGGUGAACUCCUCAUAAAGUGUCAAACUCCUAAUUACAGUAGAAGGGUAGAGGUUGAAAUAUCCUUCAAAAGUGUUCUACCAGGUCUAGAAUAUUACGUUAGCUCUUACAUAGAGAGUUAUGCAAUGCUAAGCCUUGGCUUAGCCGUGGGCUGCACUUAUCUAGUUUGGACUGUUGCAAGUUCGAGAGCAAAAGAUAAGGCAUUUGAGUUACCUGCCGCUGAGAGGGCUUUUUGGUAGAUUGCAGCAGUAUUCAAAAAUAAAUCCGUCAAAUAGGAUGUCGACUACCAAAACAUUGAUGCCAAACACCUCAUAGCUUAUCCGGAACAUCUGAAUUGCAAAGGUUUAAUUACUGACGCCAUUUCUUCAACCCUCAAGAAAAUCCUAAACUCAGCAACAAUCCCUGCACACGAGCUUCACAAAAUUCUUCGAUGAACGACAACCCUAUAACUAAAAACUCGAAACAACCACCAUGCUCGAGCACCACGCAAAUCUGAGCUGCAAUCUCGUAGGUGCCAAUGCGGCCGGCGUCCCUCACCACUAAUGCGGCCCGUGACUUCGCAAGAAACAAACGAGUUCCUGAGAUUGCCUGUAAAUUAGGAAAGUUGGGGUGCAGAAGGUUGGCGUAGUAGAACCUUUAUAAGUGUCUCAUUGGGGUAUAAUGUGUAGGGUCGUGGUGUGUAUUUGGGAAGUCAAGGUUUAAGCUGCGCAAUGGUGUUCCUCGGUGGUGCCUCGCAGGAGCCUGAUCAAGCUCAAAGUAUACAUUUCUGAAACCGUAACCGCAAAUUUGAAUA